CCCAUCUCAGGGUCGCACCUGGAGAGUUUCUGGUACUCUACCAGUCUUGGCUAUGGGAGGGAGAGUCAAACAGAGGCAUGCCUAUUCCACUCCUAGCUUGGCCAGUAGCUAGCAAGUGGAAGGCAAUCUGCUACAAGU